AUGGGAGCUUGCUCCCUGAUGUUAGCGGCGGACGGGUGAGUAACACGUGGGUAACCUGCCUGUAAGACUGGGAUAACUCCGGGAAACCGGGGCUAAUACCGGAUGCUUGUUUGAACCGCAUGGUUCAGACAUAAAAGGUGGCUUCGGCUACCACUUACAGAUGGACCCGCGGCGCAUUAGCUAGUUGGUGAGGUAACGGCUCACCAAGGCGACGAUGCGUAGCCGACCUGAGAGGGUGAUCGGCCACACUGGGACUGAGACACGGCCCAGACUCCUACGGGAGGCAGCAGUAGGGAAUCUUCCGCAAUGGACGAAAGUCUGACGGAGCAACGCCGCGUGAGUGAUGAAGGUUUUCGGAUCGUAAAGCUCUGUUGUUAGGGAAGAACAAGUGCCGUUCAAAUAGGGCGGCACCUUGACGGUACCUAACCAGAAAGCCACGGCUAACUACGUGCCAGCAGCCGCGGUAAUACGUAGGUGGCAAGCGUUGUCCGGAAUUAUUGGGCGUAAAGGGCUCGCAGGCGGUUUCUUAAGUCUGAUGUGAAAGCCCCCGGCUCAACCGGGGAGGGUCAUUGGAAACUGGGGAACUUGAGUGCAGAAGAGGAGAGUGGAAUUCCACGUGUAGCGGUGAAAUGCGUAGAGAUGUGGAGGAACACCAGUGGCGAACGCGACUCUCUGGUCUGUAACUGACGCUGAGGAGCGAAAGCGUGGGGAGCGAACAGGAUUAGAUACCCUGGUAGUCCACGCCGUAAACGAUGAGUGCUAAGUGUUAGGGGUUUCCGCCCCCUUAUGCUGCAGCUAACGCAUUAAGCACUCCGCCUGGGGAGUACGGUACGCAAGACUGAAAC
rnacentral:rRNA from 1 species